AUUGAACGCUGGCGGCAGGCUUAACACAUGCAAGUCGAACGGUAACAGGAAGCAGCUUGCUGCUUCGCUGACGAGUGGCGGACGGGUGAGUAAUGUCUGGGAAGCUGCCUGAUGGAGGGGGAUAACUACUGGAAACGGUAGCUAAUACCGCAUAAUGUCGCAAGACCAAAGAGGGGGACCUUCGGGCCUCUUGCCAUCGGAUGUGCCCAGAUGGGAUUAGCUUGUUGGUGGGGUAACGGCUCACCAAGGCGACGAUCCCUAGCUUGUCUGAGAGGAUGACCAGCCACACUGGAACUGAGACACGGUCCAGACUCCUACGGGAGGCAGCAGUGGGGAAUAUUGCACAAUGGGCGCAAGCCUGAUGCAGCCAUGCCGCGUGUAUGAAGAAGGCCUUCGGGUUGUAAAGUACUUUCAGCGGGGAGGAAGGGAGUAAAGUUAAUACCUUUGCUCAUUGACGUUACCCGCAGAAGAAGCACCGGCUAACUCCGUG
rnacentral:rRNA from 1 species